GGAAGUCGGAAGGGCAUAGGUGGUAGUGCUUUUUGAACAGGUCGUUCAUGCGGCGGGUGCUGCCAAAUCCUGCUGCUUCCGCCA
rnacentral:tRNA from 1 species